UACGUAGGUGGCAAGCGUUGUCCGGAAUUACUGGGGUGUAAAGCGCGCGUAGGCGGUAGGCCAAGUCUGCUGUGAAAUCCCCCGGCUCAACCGGGGAACGGGCACCGAUACGGGGGGGGCUGGAGUUCGGGAGAGGGAGCGUGGAAUUCCCAGUGUAGAGGUGAAAUUUCGUAGAUAUUUGGGGAAGAAACACCGGGUGGCGAAGGGCGGCUCACUGGCCCCGAUACUGACGCUGAGGCACG
rnacentral:rRNA from 1 species